ensembl:lincRNA Gm44278 predicted gene, 44278
ACACAUUGGUUGUUUGCCCAAACUUAUGCGUGGUGGCCAGCAGUAGCCAGCGCCACUCUGCAACGGCACAUGUGGCUUCCCACAUUUUAUGACCAAUGUAUUGCUGUUAAUAUUUUAGGGAUCUAUGCUGGGGCCACAGAGUCUGCUCAAGAUGCCUUCUGGGACCUUCUCAAAUGAAGUAUUAACACCCAGGAAAGAAGACUAGUGGGAGGGGCUGAGAUCUCUACCUAGGAGGCGAGGCUCUUUACCCAUGGCACCAGACAUCAUUUCUUACCCUGCUAUUAAAUGACCAAAACUCUGAGAAGGUGAGAA